rnacentral:tRNA from 1 species
GUGGGUAGAGCUCAAUGGAUGAGCACAUGCUUAGCAAUGCACAAGGCCCUGGGUUCAAUCCCCAGUACCUCCA